GACGAACCGUGCGAACGUUAUUCGGAAUCACUGGGCUUAAAGCGCGUGUAGGCGGCCCGGCACGUCAUCGGCUGAAAUCCCCCGGCUCAACCGGGGAAGGGGCCGUGAUACGACCGGGCUGGAGGGGGGUAGGGGGGACGGGAACUCACGGUGGAGCGGUGAAAUGCGUUGAGAUCGUGAGGAACGCCCGCGGCGAAAGCGCGUCCCUGGACCCCACCUGACGCUGAGACGCGAAAGCCAGGGGAGCGAACGGG
rnacentral:rRNA from 2 species